GAGUGCUCCAACAGCUCCAAAAUAACCCUGAAAGAAAAUACACCAAAAAUAAGUGCAAUUUUCCUUAGACUUAUUCAAAUCACCUUACACAUGAUGACUAGUGUUAAAGCCAACCACUGCCCACACACAGCAUACCCAUUUCCUGAGCACCCCAGAAGGGCCAAGGCCAGCCUGGGAGCAGAGACGCCCUAAGGAGUCCCUGUCUGGGGAGGGGGCUGGAUGUCCUAGACUAUCCAAGCACUUCAGACCACUGUGAUAAGAGGAAAACCAAACCCGCAGUGAGGGCGACAGGAGCUAUGAGGCCAGCAGCAGCUCAGUUACCUCUGGUAAGAGACAGAACCUGACUGUUUCUGGGGAAUGAGGUGAGAAGCAGCAGAGGCCUGGAGCAUUUCCAGACAACUAAGGAAUGAAGGCGAGGUCGGAUGCAAAGUGCAAUGAAACAGGUGAAGUUGUGAGGUGGGUCACAGAGGGUGAGAGCCCGACUGAGCUGGGAGAGGGAGGGAGAGUAAGAGAUAAGAUGGAUUCAAGAUUCACCCCUAACAGAGGACAGGACAGCAGGAGGGGGCAGCAUCCCCGAGAAAGGGGACACAGGAGUAAGAGGUGUGGAGAGCAAGGCCGGUGGGUGAGUUCCCUACAGGACAUGGGAAGCUGAGGUGCCCACAGCAGCCAAGCAGCUGUGCCCGGGUGGUCACCAGACACCUGGAUCACUGGCCCAGAAGCAGGCGGCACAGGAAUGAAAACCACCACCCAAAGGUAACGUGAAGAGAGGUACAGAACAAAGAGCAAAGCCUGAGGAAGCACGGAGGCUCCCGAGGGAGGGCAGCCCUCAGCCCUCCUGAGACACAGAAGCAGCAGCUGAGAGACGACAAGCACUGUACUGUCUCCAGAAGCAGUCAGGUCACAUGCAACCAAGAACUCAAAACCAAAACACAGGAAUAGCACAUUAGAGAAAACGGGGCAAACCCCAUAAUGACAGAAAAGAGAACACUAGCAAGAAUCAGAGGCAAAUCCUAA
rnacentral:lncRNA from 1 species